CCCCCCCCCCCCCCGCGAACGGAUGAGCCGCACAGCUCUUUGUUUUGAGUUUUGAUGCUUUUGUUCCCUAUACAAAUUCCGUGGCCUGAAAUGAUUCCCAGGGUGAUUCCUCUGCUGGGAGCAUCCCACUUGCAUUGCUUGGGAUUGGCCCUUUGAGAAUACUGGAAAGUUUUGUUGGAACCAAUUCCCUCAUAGAAGGGUGGUCAGGAAUCAUAACAGAGUCAACAGGACUUUGUAAGGUUGGGUCGUGAGGUGUUAAGGGAUAAAAAUGCGGCGUGUAACAUCUGGGUGAAAAGGGUUUGCGAAGGGACUUCGGGUGUAGGCAAGGCUUUUACAGAGUUAGGUAGCGUCGCCAUCGGAAAGGUGGGCAUAGGUGGUUUACCUUUUUGGGAGAUUGCCAAUUCAUUAGGCCCUAUUGCGAUGUGAUGCUUGUGUGAUGGGGACCUAAUGAUCUGAAUGACAGUGCCUAUGUCUGGGUAACGUGUGGAAGGGCAUUGUUGUCUGUAUACAGACUGCCUGUGCCACUCGUCCCGGCUAGGCCUCGGGCCUGCCUUGACCUCACUGUCUGAUGGAGAGGAAGUGGAAUGGUCAGGGACUUCAGGCAGACUGUGCCUUUUGCCUGGGCUCCGCCCCCUGGAUUUUUGGUGGGUGGUGACUGCGCUCACCAUGCUCCGCCCCUUUUCUAGGGAUUUCUUGGCCAUAUAAGGAGAUGUUUCAGGGCCCACUCUCUGAUUGGUUUUCG
rnacentral:lncRNA from 12 species